UACGUGCAGAAGAAGCAACGGGCUUACUCGUGCCUGCAGGCCGCGCUAAUAGAGAGGGUGCGAGCGUUAAUGGAAUUACUGGGCGUAAAGCACAGCGCGGGCGGUCUGUCAAGUCAGAUGUGAAAUCCCCUGGCUCAACCUUGGGAACUGCCUUCAAACUGGCUGGCAGAGUCUGUAGAGGGGGGUAGAUUCCAGGUGAGCGGUGAAAUGAGUAGAGAUCUGGAGGAAUACCGGUGGAGAAGGAGGCCCCCUGGACAAAGAAAGACGCUCAGGUGCGAAAAGCGUGGGGAGCAAACAGGAUUAGAUACCCUGGUAGUGCACGCCGUAAACGAUGUGGAUUUGGAGGUUGUGCCCGUGAGGCGUGGCUUCGGGAGCUAACGCGUUAAAUCGACCGCUGGGGAGUACGGCCGCAAGGUUAAAACUCAAAUGAAUUGACGGGGGCCCGCCCGAGCGGUGGAGCAUGUGGUUUAAUUAGUUGCAACGAGAAGAACCUUACCUGGUUUUCACAUCCACAGAACUUAGCAGAGAUGGUUUGGUGCCUUCGGGAACUAGGAGACAGAUGCAGCAUGGCCGUGGUCAGCUUCUGUUGUGAAAGGUUGGGUUAAGUCUCGCAACGAGCGCAACCGUUAUCCUUUGUUGCAAGCGGUUCGGCCGGGCACUCUAAGGAGACUGCCAGUGAUAAACCGGAGGAAGGUGGGGAUGACGUCAAGUCUUCAUGGCCCU
rnacentral:rRNA from 1 species